GUUUGAUCCUGGCUCAGGAUGAACGCUAGCGGCAGGCUUAACACAUGCAAGUCGAGGGGUAUUUGUCUUCGGACAGAGAGACCGGCGCACGGGUGCGUAACGCGUAUGCAAUCUGCCUUUCACAGAGGGAUAGCCCAGAGAAAUUUGGAUUAAUACCUCAUAGUAUUACAGGAUGGCAUCGUCCAGUAAUUAAAGUCACAACGGUGAAAGAUGAGCAUGCGUCCCAUUAGCUAGUUGGUAAGGUAACGGCUUACCAAGGCUACGAUGGGUAGGGGUCCUGAGAGGGAGAUCCCCCACACUGGUACUGAGACACGGACCAGACUCCUACGGGAGGCAGCAGUGAGGAAUAUUGGUCAAUGGGCGCAAGCCUGAACCAGCCAUGCCGCGUGCAGGAUGACGGUCCUAUGGAUUGUAAACUGCUUUUGUACGAGAAGAAACACUGAUUCGUGAAUCAGCUUGACGGUAUCGUAAGAAUAAGGAUCGGCUAACUCCGUGCCAGCAGCCGCGGUAAUACGGAGGAUCCAAGCGUUAUCCGGAAUCAUUGGGUUUAAAGGGUCCGUAGGCGGUCUUGUAAGUCAGUGGUGAAAGCCCAUCGCUCAACGGUGGAACGGCCAUUGAUACUGCUGGACUUGAAUUAUUAGGAAGUAACUAGAAUAUGUAGUGUAGCGGUGAAAUGCUUAGAGAUUACAUGGAAUACCAAUUGCGAAGGCAGGUUACUACUAAUUGAUUGACGCUGAUGGACGAAAGCGUGGGUAGCGAACAGGAUUAGAUACCCUGGUAGUCCACGCCGUAAACGAUGGAUACUAGCUGUUGGGAGCAAUUUCAGUGGCUAAGCGAAAGUGAUAAGUAUCCCCACCUGGGGAGUACGUUCGCAAGAAUGAAACUCAAAGGAAUUGACGGGGGCCCGCACAAGCGGUGGAGCAUGUGGUUUAAUUCGAUGAUACGCGAGGAACCUUACCAAGGCUUAAAUGCAGACUGACCGAUUUGGAAACAGAUCUUUCGCAAGACAGUUUACAAGGUGCUGCAUGGUUGUCGUCAGCUCGUGCCGUGAGGUGUCAGGUUAAGUCCUAUAACGAGCGCAACCCCUGUUGUUAGUUGCCAGCGAGUCAUGUCGGGAACUCUAACAAGACUGCCAGUGCAAACUGUGAGGAAGGUGGGGAUGACGUCAAAUCAUCAUGCCCCUUAUGUCUUGGGCUUCACGCAUGCUACAAUGGCCGGUACAAUGGGUUGCGAUACUGUGAGGUGGAGCUAAUCCCAAAAAGCCGGUCUCAGUUCGGAUUGGGGUCUGCAACUCGACCCCAUGAAGUCGGAGUCGCUAGUAAUCGCAGAUCAGCAACGCUGCGGUGAAUACGUUCCCGGGCCUUGUACACACCGCCCGUCAAGUCACGAAAGUUGGUAACACCCGAAGCCGGUGGCCUAACCCCCUUGUGGGGAGGGAGCUGUCGAAGGUGGGACUGGCGAUUGGGACUAAGUCGUAACAAGGUAACCGUA
rnacentral:rRNA from 1 species